rnacentral:rRNA from 2 species
GGGAACAGCUCAAAUUUGAAAUCUGGCCCUUGGGUCCGAGUUGUAAUUUGCAGAGGAUGCUUUUGGUGCGGUGCCUUCCGAGUUCCCUGGAACGGGACGCCUUAGAGGGUGAGAGCCCCGUACGGUUGGCCACCAAGCCUGUGUAAAGCUCCUUCGACGAGUCGAGUAGUUUGGGAAUGCUGCUCAAAAUGGGAGGUAUAUUUCUUCUAAAGCUAAAUACUGGCCAGAGACCGAUAGCGCACAAGUAGAGUGAUCGAAAGAUGAAAAGCACUUUGAAAAGAGGGUUAAAUAGCACGUGAAAUUGUUGAAAGGGAAGGAUUUAUGACCAGACUUUUUCUAGGGGGAUCAUCCGGUGUUCUCACCGGUGCACUUCCCCUAGUUGAGGCCAGCAUCGGUUUCUGUCGGGGGAUAAAAGCUUCAGGAAUGUGGCUCCUUCGGGAGUGUUAUAGCCUGUUGCAUAAUACCCUGACGGGGACCGAGGUUCGCGCAUUGCAAGGAUGCUGGCGUAAUGGUUAUUAAUCACCCGUCUUGAAACACGGACCAAGGAGUCGAACAUUUGUGCGAGUGUUUGGGUGUUAAACCCUCACGCGUAAUGAAAGUGAACGGAGGUGAGAGCCCUUCGGGGUGCAUCAUCGACCGAUCCUGAUGUCUUCGGAUGGAUUUGAGUAAGAGCAUAACUGUUCGGACCCGAAAGAUGGUGAACUAUGCGUGGAUAGGGUGAAGCCAGAGGAAACUCUGGUGGAGGCUCGCAGCGGUUCUGACGUGCAAAUCGAUCGUC